rnacentral:rRNA from 1 species
CCUACGGGGGGCAGCAGUGGGGGAUAUUGCACAAUGGGGGAAACCCUGAUGCAGCGACGCCGCGUGAGUGAAGAAGUAUUUCGGUAUGUAAAGCUCUAUCGGCAGGGAAGAAAAAGCGCGCGAGCGCCCUUGACAGUACCUGACUAAGAAGCCCCGGCUAACUACGUGCCAGCAGCCGCGGUAAUACGUAGGGGGCAAGCGUUAUCCGGAUUUACUGGGUGUAAAGGGAGCGUAGGCGGCCAUGCAAGUCAGAAGUGAAAACCCGGGGCUCAACCCUGGGAGUGCUUUUGAAACUGUGCGGCUAGAGUGUCGGAGGGGUAAGUGGAAUUCCUAGUGUAGCGGUGAAAUGCGUAGAUAUUAGGAGGAACACCAGUGGCGAAGGCGGCUUACUGGACGAUGACUGACGCUGAGGCUCGAAAGCGUGGGGAGCAAACAGGA